GCCGGGUGCGGUGGCGUGCGCCUGUAAUCCAAGUUACUGGGAGGCUGAGGCUGGCGGAUCGUUUGAGCUCAGGAGUUCUGAGCUCCAGUGGACUAUGCCGAUCGGGUGUCCGCACUAAGUUCGGUAUCGAUAUGGUGCUCCUGGGGGAGCCCGGGACCACCAGGUCGUCUAAGGAGGUGCACCGGCCCAGGUCGGAAACGGAGCAGGCCAAAGCCCCCGUGCCGCUCAGUAGUGGGAUCGCGCCUGUGAAUAGACGCUGUAGUGCAGCCUGAGCAAUACAGCGGGACACAGUCUUU
rnacentral:SRP_RNA from 1 species